rnacentral:miRNA from 1 species
GGCUGUGCAUUAUUACUUUUGGUACGCGCUGUGUCACAUCAAAC